rnacentral:lncRNA from 10 species
GCACAUGCGCAGAAUCAUCGUGGUGCACGGCUCUCCCUUUGCUUCUUCGGUUGCAGUCCUCUUGCUUCUUGCGCGUGCGUGUAGCGCUUUUGCAAAGCCGCGGAGGUGAAGUGAACUUAGAGGUUGUGGGGCCGAGGGGUCGUCUUAUAGCUACCAGCCCACAGGCAUUUAGUCUACGUUGGAGGUAAACAAAUACGGGUCCUGCUUAGGAGAAAAGAAAAACGUCUUACAGCCAGUGUCUAAACUCCAAACAACGGAAUGUAUCAAUGAGACCUUGUAUAUGGAUACACGUGCAUUUAAAACCGCCCUGCCGGCUUGUAGAGCUUUUGCCGUUCUCCAGCGCUUUACAGGGGUUAUCGCACUUAAGCCUCGGAACAACUUUACCAGAUGAGGACACCUGAGGUUCAGAUUAAGAAAUCUGCCCCAAAGUCUUAGAACUGGUAUUCUCCACUGGUUGAAUGCAAAUGGAAGCCAGAGGAAAAGGGAACCCUUGACACAGUUUUCAUAUAGAUUGGCCUCCAGGGCAGACAGCAGGAGUGGGGUUUAAUCUGGACUGAAUUGGAGGAAAGGAACUGGCACCAGAGUGGAGGCUGGAAGGAUGGUGGAACUGACACUGGGACAGAACACAGAAAACAGAAUCUAAUGCUAUUGCUCUGGCUAUAUCAAAUAAAAGUGUCAAGAGUGAGCAUCCUUGCCUUGUGCUGAAUCACAAAGGAAUACCUUUCAGUUUUUCUCCAUUGAUUAUGAUAGCAGUGGGCUUUUCACAGUGGGCUUUACUGUGUUGAGGUACCCUAAUGACAAGUUCACCCCAGUGUUUUCUGAGGAGUCUACCUGGAAAUGAGAACCAUCUGUCCUUCCUAUAGUAGUUCUUCUCAGAAUGCCGACUCUAUGCUAAUGGAGGAGGUCUGAUGGCCGGGAGGACAGGAAGAAGGAACCCACAAUGAAGCAAAAGUUGCGUUUAACUCUGUCCUCACCAUUCCUCUCCUGGACCUGUCCUAAACUGGAAGCUGGGGGAGGAUGGAGUGCUGGAAUGCUGCAGAAGUCUCAUGGGAGGGCGCCUGGUGUUCACCACAUGUGUACACUGUUGCACGACCAGAUGGAAAUUUGAAUGCUGGGGCUCAGUGGAACACCUGAAGGAAGCUGGUGAGGCAGAUGUCCCGCUAUGCCUUCCAAGUGUCAUGCAACCAGUUCAUGCCUGUCAGCAUCUCUGCCGGUGGACUCUGUGAGUCAGCAAAUCUACAGAGCAGAGAGCCACAAGUGGGGACAGAUGUGGUCAAAUGCCAUUUAAAUCAGUGAUUCUCAACCCAGGAGUUGUCAUGGCACUGGCCUUGAGUGAGCUGGACCAAGGGAAGUGGUAGAAUUCCCCAUGAAGGACCAAGUGAGCAGAUAGAAGUUUCUCCAUUUUAACUUUUUCUGAGUCAAUUUAAAAAACACCUAGUGCCUUUUUCUGU